rnacentral:rRNA from 1 species
UGGGGAAUAUUGCACAAUGGGCGCAAGCCUGAUGCAGCCAUGCCGCGUGUGUGAAGAAGGCCUUCGGGUUGUAAAGCACUUUCAGCGAGGAGGAAGGUGGUGAACUUAAUACGUUCAUCAAUUGACGUUACUCGCAGAAGAAGCACCGGCUAACUCCGUGCCAGCAGCCGCGGUAAUACGGAGGGUGCAAGCGUUAAUCGGAAUUACUGGGCGUAAAGCGCACGCAGGCGGUUUGUUAAGUCAGAUGUGAAAUCCCCGGGCUCAACCUGGGAACUGCAUUUGAAACCGGCAAGCUAGAGUCUCGUAGAGGGGGGUAGAAUUCCAGGUGUAGCGGUGAAAUGCGUAGAGAUCUGGAGGAAUACCGGUGGCGAAGGCGGCCCCCCUGGACGAAGACUGACGCUCAGGUGCGAAAGCGUGGGGAGCAAAACAGGAUUAGAUACCCUGGUAGUCCACGCUGUAAACGAUGUCGAUUUUGGAGGUUGUGCCCCUUGAGGCGUGGCUUCCGGAGCUAACGCGUUAAAUCGACCGCCUGGGGAGUACGGCCGCAAGGUUAAAACUUAAAGGAAUUGAC